GUUUUUCUCAGCUUUAUAUGUUUUUUUUUUUUUUUUUUCAAUUCUACAGUCUUGAUAAUCGCAGCUUUCAGUUACAGACUUAGCAUGUGGACUUGCAGUGUUAGGAUUCCCAACACCUCAACUGGAAGAAAAGAGAUUGGAGGUGGCAGUGGAAGGGACAGGGCACAAGAAAGAAAAGGAAAGGAACGCGGACGCUCGCACACAACUUCUUACAAUGGCUCUAGCAUGCCCUUCCAUUGGUAGGAAUCCUUUUGAUCAAAUCCUUGCCCUGGGCUGGAAGUGUUUUAAUGAGCAUACAGACAUCGUCUUUUUUUCCUCGGUCUAUUUUGUGUUCUUAAGGAUAGAUAAGUAAAGUGUGCACUUAAAUGAUCAUGUGUGCGCUUCUUAACUGUGCUCUAGAGGGAACGCGUGGUGCUUGAACGCAGAGGCUGAACAGUGCCAGCCUGAAGGACAAGAAAAAUAGCAGAGGAGGAAACUUGAACUGAAGUGAACUUGUUUCUUUUAACAUUUUGUUUUCUUCUGGAGGAGGAAUAAGAAGCCUGCAGACAGGUGGGGAUUUGGGGGCGAGAGGUGUUUUGUGCAGACUUCCAUAUCUUGCCGAAUUUCCCCAGCACUGUUUUUUUGUUUUCUUUUUUGAGAUUCCCAUCAAGGCUACUGUGAUUCCUCCAUCCUUUUGCCUCCAUCCCACUGGGGGCGGGUGACACCAUGAUGAGUGGCAUCUUCCAGCCCCUGCAUCAGGAUGCCCUGCACAGCUCCUGGUUUUAAAGGCAGGGGUGCAGGGAAGAUGGAAGCCAAGACCUCUGUGCAGAAGAAGCAGAGCUUUCCCCAAACUGGGAUGGCAAGAGUUGAAAAAAAGUUUAGCCUUGAGAGCAGCUGCCAAAAUCAAAACCUUUUUCAAAGUUUUUUUGAUGUGAAUCGCAGGAGGUGCGACUACUGGGAUUUGCAUCCAAACAGGAACCCUGCAGGUUUCUUCAAAUCCUGGUGACAAAGGUAUGACAUUUAUGAUUUGGGACUGUUAUUCCACAUGUGUGAAUUGCCAAAACAAAGCUUUUGAAAACAGCAACUUUUAUUUGUGACUGAUGCGUUUUGUAAACAAGAAAGUGCCAACGUUGACACGUGGUCUGUUCAGCUCAGGGUACCCACUGCUUCCCAGGUACGACUGCUGCCCUGAGCUCACUGCGGUAUUAACGAUGCUCCUUCGAUAAAGGGAGCACUGUUACUGCAUAGCUUUGGCUCAGGUAACAGGUAAGUGUGAAGUAACUGUACACUUUUAGCGAUGUGGUACUGGGUGAGCACUGGAAAUUUAUCUCAUAGGAAAUAGUUUUGGAUGAGUCCAGUUUAUUGAGUUAGAUAUUUUGCCUCCAACAAGGGUACAAACAACUCUGGAAAAAAAUUAAACUGACGCAUGUGGAUACCAAGAAAAAGUUCCCUAGUUUACAAUAUUUAGGUGUUCAUAUAAUUUUCUGUAACUGCUGGUGCUAAUUCAGCUCUUGUCAUUAUUAGUGUCCCAUUACUGCCUUUAUAACCAUCUCCUCUGUUAUUGUUGCACAGCUUAAGUAUAUGAUAUAUAAAACAGUUGUGCUUCCAUUUUUAAUUUUACUGCAUUAGUUUAUUUAGGACCCUCAGAUUUAUCCCAUGUAGAUUAGUCAUUAAUCCAUACACUUCUGCUCAUCUUCAUGUGGACUAACCUGAAGUACAGAAAGAA
ensembl:lncRNA